UUAAGCAUAUCAAAAG
rnacentral:rRNA from 1 species